GGACGGGAGUGUGAGCGUCUGAGAGACUCUCUUGAAGGACUUGGAGUGAGUGGCGCGCAGGACUUUCCUUACACACUGAGGACUUCAUCAGGCAGAGGCGAAGUCAAGAGCAUUGGGAACCAAGAGAAAUAACUUUUCCUGAGCUGUUGCCAAGCAAACCACACCCUCAGCUCAGCCCUAUUGUAUCCAGCCCUAUUUUUAUUCAUUAUCCUCAUCGCUGGUGGAUAGUGAGAGAGAAGGGGAAUGCUGACUGCUUCCCUACUUUGCAUCUAGAUUUGCAUCAAAGAAAGGAGAUUAUCUGGUGGAAAAAGUGGAGGAUGACCUCUUAAAAGCCCAACAAUGACAAGCCCAAAUAACCAUGCAGUGAGGAGUUAAUAAACCCACUUACCUGUCCCGAGUUUCAACCUCAAUUUUGAAAGCUGAAGUGGGCUGUGCUAUGAACGUGUGUGGCACCGGAGCACAAAUAGCUCGGAGGAAAGCAGGCGAGGAAUGAGAGCACCCCUUGGUCUCACUGCCCCAAACCAGGAGGCACUUUGUGGCAAAGCUCCCUUGAAUGGGAAUAAUGGCUGAAGCCCGUUUUCCUCCCCUACGCUGACCUUCAGAUCAUUCCUUGGGGAGCAGCUCUGUCCCGGGCACCGCCCAACUUCUCCCCCCAGUCAGCCCUUCUAGGCCUUUGAGACCAGAGCUAUGGGAGGAGAAAACUCUUGGGAAAGCAGCCAAGAGAGAGGGAAAGACUGACCUCAACCUACCAAGGGGCACAGGGUGCCCCCAUCCUCACCCUGUACCUUCCACUGGAAAACGGAGAAGCUGGGAAACCAGAUUCCAGCCUCAAAAUACACUUCGCUUGUCCUUGUUUUGUCAAGAAGCCUCUACCUUCCAGACCUUGCCAGGAAGCCGGCGGCAUUUUCACAAAGCAGCAAUAACAAGGACAGAGAGUUCUAGCCUGCCGGAGCCUGCUGGCUGGUCACUCUUUCCACUGCCUUUUGUCUUCAUGCAUCAUUCCCUCACUUGCUUCUCAGAUUCCUCAGGGCUUUGAAAAAGCCACAAAUGCUCCAUGAAGUGACACCACCCAGCGGCCUGGCUGACACGGCCGACAUGCACCCUACCCUGUGCGAUGGCACAUCAGCAAGCCCUGACAAAUGACACCACGUCGUACACCUAGUGAGAGGCAAGACAGCUUUUAGAAAGCGACCCGCCGGCACCCAUCAGCCUAGCUGGCAAAGGGGAGACUUCACAUAAGUAACACCCAGUGGACUGAAUGUGGAAGUACCAGGAUUCUCUAAUGAAAUGUCAGAUGGAGGAUGAAGGAGGGAGGGAGAGACAGCCAAAACCUCACCAAAAGCCUGUUUACGAAGUCAGGAUUGGAAGUGAAGAGGGCCAUGUGAUGGUGUGAGGAUGACCCUCCAUGUGAGGAAAUAGCGCAGCAACAAACAGGAACUGCCUUGCCAUCAUCCCAUCACUGGGAUUUCUGCAGGUGACCAACAGGAAUUCACUGUUUACCAGUUCCAGUCAGAUGUGAACUUGGGCCCCGUGGCAGGAAGAUCCAGGUCAAGAACAAGCAUCUCAGUGAUGGAGAACGGGCAGAGGCCUUGGGAAUUAUGAGCAGGAGGCUGGCAAGCGUCAUGGAAAUGGCCAGAGACCAAUCUCUGCACAACAACGAGACCCAGGAGCGCCUCAACAUAAGUCAAGAGUCCUUGUAGGCAACAGAAAGCCAAGCUCAGCCUAACUCCUGUGAAGCUUUCUUUUCUGCUCACCCAGCUCUAACCAGGGAAGGCUACUUGGGGCACAGCCAGAGGGAGCCAGGGAAGGUCAGAGGGUUUGCAGAUAUCCAGGGCCACGGCCAUGGUUUUCCAGGGCAAAGAGGCCAAGGUCAUGGGCUUCUCUCCAGACCAGUUUGCUCCUUUCACAGGAAGAGCUGUCCUACAGUUCUGAGCUGCACUCCCAAGUCCAGCCAACCAUCUAAAAAAUUCAUGAUGCUGUUCACAAGGGCCUGGGUGGAGACGGCUGUGUGCAAACUCGCCCUGACUGGGGACAGAUCCCGGGGUGAUGUUGCAGGUGGGGGGGGGCUGGAGGGGGAGGGCAUACUUCACAGGAGCAAUACAGCAUAGCGUGACACUUUAUUUUUAUUGAACGUAUGCUGAAAGGUUUUUUUUCUUAAAGUUUGUAUGAGUAGAAAUUGCUGUCUUGUGCCCUGAUCCCCGGAGACAGAAGGCCGGACUCUGAUAGCUUCUGCAGGAUGGAGCCUAUGAGCGCAUGACUGUUAGCAGAUAUCCCAAGAGCUUCACAGAAAUUUCAGAGGGAUACACGUAUUGCCCAGAAUCUACUAGAGGGUGUUAUACCUUGGCAAAGAUAUGUUGUAAAAUGAAACAUGAGAUCUCCAAAGGAAAUCCUGGGGGGACGGUACAUGAACCAAAGAGGCAGCAUCGUAUAGUUAAAAGCAUGGACUCAGGAGCCAGGCUGUCUGGGUUCAGAUCCUGGCACUGCCAUUUAUUAGCUGUGUGACCUUGAGCAAGUCACUUAACCUCCCUGGGCCUCAGUUUCUUCAUCCACAUAAUUCAGACAAUAGUAGUUUCCAGGUCACAGGGUUGUUUUAAGAAUUAGAUAUAAUAUUUAAAAAGUUAAAUAAGUUACUAUGUAAAAGCACUUAGGACAGUGUCUUUCACAGCAAGAACUAUUUAAGUGUUAUAUUUAAAAAGGAACAAAGGGCCGGCUGAGUGGCUCAG